GGAUGACAAACUCCUAAUUGAAACCCACGUGUUGGACGUAUCUUCCACAGGUAUUUAUCCAGAAAGUACAAAAUCGAAGCACAGUUGAUUGAAACAAUUUAAGUAAUGCUACUCGAUUGAAACAAUUUAAGAUGUAGGUGGGGUUUUGGAGGCAAAAUUGUCACCAACCAGUUGAACAAAAACAUAACUAUUAUGUUUGUAUGAAGUUAUGUUAUGCAGUGACU